GACGGAGGGUGCUAGCGUUGUUCGGAAUUACUGGGCGUAAAGGGCGCGUAGGCGGCCGUUUGCGUCGGAUGUGAAAGCCCGGGGCUCAACCCCGGAACUGCCUUUAAGACUGCAUCGCUUGAAUCCGGGAGAGGUGAGUGGAAUUCCGAGUGUAGAGGUGAAAUUCGUAGAUAUUCGGAAGAACACCAGUGGCGAAGGCGGCUCACUGGACCGGUAUUGACGCUGAGGUGCGAAAGCGUGGGGAGCAAACAGG
rnacentral:rRNA from 1 species